CAGAUUUGUGUUGGUUAGUGUGGACUGAGGCUGCUUGUGGUUUUGGGAUUCCAAUUAAAUCCAUUCUUUCUUCACAUAAGAUUUGUGUUGGUUAGUGUGGACUGAGGCUGCUUGUGGUUUUGGGAUUCCAAUUAAAUCCAUUCUUUCUUCGCAUAAGAUCCUAAAACGGAGAUGGAAGACACAAACACAACGGUUCUUCAACUAUGUCCGGAGAUUGUACCCUUCAAUCAAUUCUUGAUGAUGGGGAGCCUAAUGAAGAGGAUGGGAGUUGUGUUACAAUUAUGGAUGAUUAAACAUUUUGUAUUAAUUUAGUAGCCUUUUUAAUUUCUUAAACUUGUUGGAUUAAUUUGUUGGUUUGUAAUUAUUUUAAGCCUUUUUAGCAUUUUGUAAUUUUU